CCGCCUCAUAUGCCACAUCUAGAACACGAGUCCAAAGAUCUCUAUGCAAUUCUUGCUCCACAGUCCCAAAGAACGAUCUUAUGUGUUCUAGGUCUUCUUUCACCCGACUGAUUUCUUCUUUUAUUAAAGCAACUGAAUAAGCAUUGGAAUUGAGCAAGUCAUUUAAGUUUCUGAGUAGGAAAGUCAUGAAGAGUGGUCCAUCACUCAUGUGGAAGCAGAGCUGUGAUGAGUCUGCAGGGGCUUUCAAGAAAACAUUCUUGAGAUCUUCCUUCAGGACGUCAAUAACUUUCAGCAAGUUUAGACUUGCACCGCUUGCUUCCUUCAUAUUCUCUUCAUUCCUUGAGUUCUCUUCUAAGUUGCGAACAAGAACGAAUACCUCCUUGGUAAGUGCUCCAACACGUUCCAAGAGAACAAACAAUUUUUCAUGACGAAUAACGUCCUUGGACACAUCAGUAAAAAUAAUCAAUAGGAACUCUAUCAUGACAUGAAUAUUUAGAGCUGAGGUGCUAGGAGUAAUAGCAUUAACCAUGUGCUGUUGUAGAUGAAUCAGAUAUUCUCUAAGAAUGUCUGGAGAGCCUUCUAGGAGCUUCUUAAUGAAGCGUCCAACUUCAGCUGACUUUGAAGCUUUCAAAUUUGUAGAACAAAUGUACAUAACUUCCAGUGAAACUGGAAUUAUCUUCAAAAGUAGAUGGACUAGCAUGGAAUUGACGAGAGAGACUUCAAUGAUCUGUUUCAUCUGCUUGGGUCAUUUGUCUUAUGCUCAAUACAUUCUGAAGAAGCUCAUAUUGAGUCAUUGGUGGGAAAAUCAACUCAGCACAAAGCUUGGGUAGAUAAUGGAGAUUCACAAGGAUCCCGUCCAAAAGUUCAACCAACUGAUCCUCAGUAAUGGCCGCACUUGAUUCAGAAUGAUGAUUUGAGAUGAUAGAACUUUUGAUAUUUUCAAGAAGGCGAGGAACGACAUGAUCCUUUAACUUAACCAGCAUGUCAUCUCCACUCUGAUGAAAAAGUGACAGAACCAGAUCAUGAACCUCAUAUGAUAUGCAAGACAUUUCGGCAUCAGAACCAACCGAAAUGUAAUAACAAAGCUGCAAACUCGCCGACAAAAAUGUCAGCUCCAGUUUCAGCUUUUCAAUUUGAUCCAUAUCAAGAACAAUUUGAUCCUCUUCAGUCUUUAACCUCUCUUUGAAAUCAUGAAGAUUGACAAUGUCUUCGUGAAACACAGCAGAUGAUACCUGCUAAAAGACCAAAUGUGCAUCAAAAUUUUCAGCUCACAUAUUCGCCAUUACAAAUUUUACUCUAACUUAAUGGGGCAACUAACGUAAAUAUAGAGGUUCUUCUUCAAAAUAACCUACUGCAUAAGCUAAAUGUUUGUCCUAUAGUUACAUUUUAUAUGAUAAACAAGAGUUAGAUUUCUCAGAAGGUGACUCAACUAAUGAAAAUUGUCCGAGAAAGUCACUAGUCUUUGUUUUGUAGUAGAAAAACCACUCUAAUUUUACCAUUUCACCUACAAAGUCACUCUACACAUUCAGGUGGUAUUCAACUGGUUUUAGAUUAUGUGUCAGCCUUUUAUAAAAUAAAAACUGUCAUUAAAAGUAUUUUACUGACCCACUCCAUGACGCGACCAGCUAACCAAUUUGCACUUUAGUUACUUGGAUUGCCUAGGUCCCUUAACUGCUACUGUUAAUUUCUCCAAGUGGAAGUUUAGCUCAACAACUUUGCCACUCAGUUAGGCAUCGAAUUUUGGGGGUGAAUGUGUCUAGUGCAGGUACAUUAUCAAUAGACCACUCUAAAGGGGAAGUCAUCCUAUGGAUGUCAAGAACCGUCGUGUGAUCAAUGGCACCCCAAAUUUUGUUUUGGUUCAAAAAUUGAAUUACAAAAUUGACAAAACUCAUAAAGCAAGCAUGUCAAUAAAGAAUUUCUACUGAUCCGUCCGUUCACAUAUAUACUAGUUUGUUACUCGGUGCACUGAAGAAGUAUAUUAACUAGUACAGAUGAUUUUAUACCAAAUCGAAGAAAAAGAAUACAUAUAUUGAACAUAGUCAUUUGAUUUUCAACACUGUUUGGGGUUCUUAUCGUCUUUGGGGUUGAGUUAGGCCAAGUGCCAAAUCGUUACAAGCAUUAUUUUGCACAUCAAACCCAACCAUAAAAAGGACACGUUACCCAAAUUGAAUCCCAGCGCUUAAAACAACUUAUUCCACAGGAAAACAAAAUCAUUUUUCUUAUAUACAAACUACAUGAAAUUUUUUUAAAAAAAGAUGAUUAACAUGUUUAAGUCGAUUAAGCUCCAAAAAAAAAAAAAACAAGCAUACUUACAAGACUUAAUUAUGUCUUAAUGAAAAAAAAAUAUAAACAAAUAUUGUAUAACAAUACCGAUGAGCUGUUUGCUUCUCCGUUCUCUCUUUUGCCUUUAUUUUUCUUUUCUCUUUCCAUGUAUGUAGUUUUUCCUUUCAAAUUGUCAAGAUCUGAUCAUAUAUAAAAAGUACAUAAACCUUUAUCAAAAGAGAACAAGUAGAAAAAAAACACACAAGAAACUCAAGAUAUCUACAACAACAAUAGACCUUAUCUCUAUCUCGUGAGGGCAAAAUAUGUACGAACCUUAUCUGUAUCUCUUGAAGGUAGAUAAGUUAUUUCCAAAAGAAACUAGGCUCAAAACAGAUUUUAAGAAAAUGUAGUUAGGAUGGCAACAAAGCUUGGACAAGUUACAACAUGACUUCACAAGUCAAGCUAGUACUGCCCAGUGUACCAAAGGAAUUUAAUUUCUUCUCCCCAUUAGUUGACCUGUAAAAUUCCUCUUUUGUCAUUUGCAUUACCCAAUAAUUGAGUAAUCUAUGAUUUGCUUAUUUUAUUUUAUUUUUUAACACAAUAGGGUGUAAAUCACUAAAAAUAAAAAGUGAGUGUUGUUUUUUUUCUUUCCAAACAUUACUAAAACUGGCAAUUUUAGAGUCCCAUAGGGGAAUUAUGCUUCCUCCACUAUUGAAAGAGUUCCACAUAUUAACUUGAUGUUGUUAACAGCUUGUACAUUGAGGCCGGUCUAAGCUAAUUAAUGGGUUGUAAAAAGUGAUUCUUGUUCUUGCUCUAUUCGUUCUUUCUUGUUAAAUUUUGACUUGAAAUAUUUAUUAAGAAAAAUAAUUAUUGACGUAGCUAUUUUACCAUGAUAUUCCCUAUUAAAUGAUGUUUCAUAUUAUGUCUUGAAAUUAAUUUGAAAAAAAUGCAACUAAUGCAAAGGGUAUAAUAGAAAAAAAAAUUGUUUUUUCUUAAUUUCUCAAAAAUGAAAAAUAAAAAUAAAAUAAAAUUAAAAAUAGUAACAAAUAGAAACGAACGGCAUCGCUCACUUAAGUGUCAUUCAUUUUCGGGGCUUGUUGAUUCGGCAGGUGAGUUGUUAUAUACUCCUAGCAGAUUUCGACUUCCAUGAUCACCGACAUGCUGUCUUAAUCAACCAACACCCUUUGUGGGAUCUAGGUCAGCGUGCAGUUUGGCACCGUAACCCGACUUUCAAUUCAUCCUGCAUUACCAGUUCUGCUUACCAAAAAUGGCCCACUUGGAUGUGUUGUACUUCCUCCAAAAUAGUUGACCUUCUUUCUAAAAUUACUUGUUUCAGUUUAGUUAUUUCAUUUAUAAAAUUAAAAGAAUUUUAUUACGUUCUUUUAAUACUACUCUUAUUACAUUAGUUUAGUAUAUACAUAGGGUAUGGGUAAAUUUAUACCGUCCCUAAGUAGUAGUAGUAUAAUUUAUUUUUUUUUAAACAAAAAAAUUCAACAUGACCUUGUGGUUUCAAACCAAGACUUGAAAAAAAGUGAAGGACCAAGUUGCUGGAAAGAAUUGAAGGAAAGGUAUCUUUUAAGUCUUAAAUGAAGGAUUGGUGACAUUGACCAACUUAAAGGAUCAAACAUCAUUAGGAAACUUGAUUAAGUUAAUUGUGGAAUUGAUUAAUAUUUUCAACACUUUCUAAUCUUUUCAAAAAUACAAAUCAACCGAACCCACACCCCUCUUCAAUCCAAAUCAACCAGUCUCUCUCUCGACAGCUUCUUUCAACUCUCGCCCAACCAACAGUUCUGCAAAAUUUCUCCUAUCAAUCCUCAGCAACUUCAACAUUCGACGACAAAUAGUUGGGCUUCGAGUUCCUUUUCGUCUUCAACCUUUAAUUGACUUGACAACCUUUCUCUCUGGCCACAACAGCUUUGAAGUCUUUGUUUCAAUCGACGUGACAGCCUUGCUCUCCGAUCACAAUAGCUUCGAAUUCAUCAUCGCUCCUUUUCUUCUUUCGCAGGUAAAAAUUUAUGGCCUUUUUAGUUUUGAGGAAAACGAGGAACUUGAGCCAACUUCUCUUAUAGUAUUGAUUAACAAUUUUAAUAUUUGUUGUAUUAAUUUGAAAUGCGGUCUAAACAAAACCCUAAUUUCUGGUAUUUCUUCUCUUAUUUUUUCAAAGUAAAUUAUGUUUUUUUGUUGUUUGUUGCAUUGUUUUGAAGUUUGAUUUUUAUUGUUUGUGUUUGUAAAAGCAAAACAACAAUUUGGGUUGAUUUGUUCUGUUCUUGUUCUUGGUAAAAAUGGUGAUAUUGCUGUUUUUUUGUUGAACAAAAUCGUGCUACUAUUUUUUAUUUUCUCCAACAGAUUAUCCAUCUGGUGCAACAUAUUAACCAUCUGAGGCAACAAAUUUAUCAUAUGAUGCAACAGCUCAAUCAUCUGAUACAUUAAAGGAACCAUCAGAUUACAUCUCUAAUGCAAUAGAUUAAUCAUCUGAUGCAAUAGAUUAAUCAUCUGAUGCAAUAGAUUAAUCAUCUGAUGCAACAGAUUAACCAUCUGAUGCAACAGAUUAAGCAUCGGAUAAAAAAUCUGAUGCAACUAAUUAACCAUCUGAUGCAACGAAAGAACCUCCUGUUGGAUAAAAGCCUAUCAACUCUUCCAACAGGAAAUAUCCAAGACUUGAUUUUUCCAACUGAUCAUUCAUCUACCGCGAUAGAUGACCCUAUGUUGGAAGAAAUCUAAACAAUAUUGACCGUUGAUAACUAUUCCAACAGAUCACUUAUAUGUUGCAAUAUAUGUGUGACUUAUUGCACAGACCAUUCAUCUUUCUCAAUAGAUAAGUGAUAUAUUUUAUAUUUUCGCAACAGAUUACUCAGCCGUUGUUAUAGGUAGGUCAGUUAACUGUCUCGAUAGAUCAUAUAUUUCAACAGAUGUGUGGUCUGGUGUACAAACCAUUCAUCUUUCUCAACAGAUAAGUGAUAUAUUUUUUUUGUCGCAAUAGAUUACUCAGCCAUUGCUACAAGUUAUUCAACUGUUCUAACAGAUCACUCAUAUGUUGCAACAGAUGUAUGAUCUACUGCACAGACCAUUCAUUUGUCUUAAAAGAUGAGUGAUAUGUUUUGUAUUAUUGCAACAAAUUACUCAUAUGAGAGGAAGUGUAGAUCACCCAUAGGUUGGUUCGAGGUGGGUGAAGCGGCUGUGAGUGGUCCUGAUUCGGUAUUUGAGGCUAUGGAAAAAGUUAAGUUGAGUAGGGAAAAGUUGAAAACUACACAGAGUCGUCAGAAGUCAUAUGCGGAUGUUAGAAGGAGAGACCUUGAGUUUGAAGUUGGUGACCUAGUGUAUCUGAAAAUUUCACCCAUGAGGGGGAUGAAGAGAUUCAGAAAGAAGGGAAAUCUUAGUCCCCGUUAUGUUGGUCCUUACAAAAUUCUUAACCGUGUCGGUAAGGUAGCUUAUGAGGUCGAGUUGCCUUCUGAGUUGUCCUCUGUUCAUCCAAUAUUCCAUUUCUGCAUGCUUAGAAAGCAUAUUAGCGAUGCUGUGGUAGUGGAUUCCUCUGUGAGUGCUGACAUUCAAGAAAAUCUUUCUUUUGAUGAGAUUCCUGUUGAAAUUCUUGAUUUCAGUGUCCUAAGACUAAGGAACAAAGAAGUUCCCUUGGUCAAGGUAUUGUGGCGAAACCAAUCUAUUGAGGGUGCAACUUGAGAAGCUAAGGCGGAUAUGUGAUCCAAGUACCCGCACCUAUUUUUCGCGAACUCCGAUCAAGCCGAAGGUACCGUUCUUUCCUAAAUCAUGCACUUUUGAUAAAAGUUGCAGCAGUUCAGCUGUCAUUUAUUAUGUGUUCAUCUGUAGUUUCUUGAAUCUAUGCAUUCUAUGUUGCAUUCGAAGUGAGAAACGAUGUGGUGAUGAGUCUAAUGAAUGGUUUCAGAUAUAUUCUCUAUUCCCUAUCUAAUCUUGGUAUGUCUAGCAUCAUUCGAGGAAGAAUGUUUCCAAGGGGGGCGGGGGGGAUGAUGUAAUACCCCGGAAAAUUUUUCGUUGAAAUUUUGUGUGUAAACGUAUUGGGUUCUAUCCUCUAGAAUGAAUUAUAAAUUUUCCGUGUGGAAUAUCUUAGAUUAAGACCCACCAUUGAGUAGCGUACCGAAUAAUCUUUCCAAUGAUAUAUAGAUCAUACAAAACGGACACCCGAGCGACGAGUUAUGAACAUUCCAAUCGAAUCGUGAAUAGUAGUGAACAGUAAAACGUGCAGGAAAAAGUACUGAGGCCUGGCGUAUUUUUGAUCCAAAUUUAAAUGAUCAUAACUCCUUGUACAUAAUGAUCUGGGUGAUUUAAUAUAUAUCAAUGGAAAGCUUUGUGAGUCCUCUUUCCAAUGAAAUUCGUUUCAUCCAAUUUGUCUAUCGGAGCAAAAAGUUAUGGUCGAGCUACUUCAGCCUAUCAAAAGAAAAUUUUUGGGUCAACUUCAAACAAUCAUAACUCCUCGUACACAAUGAUCUGGGUGAGAUACUAUAUAUCAAUGAAAAUAUAUGAGAGUCCUCUUUCUAAUGAAAUUGGUUUCAUCCAAUUUGGAUAUCAGAAUAAAACGUUAUGGUUGAUCUACUUCAGACUAUCAAAACAGUCCACCAAAGGACAGAUUCGAGAAUUAUUUGAUUUUUAGGGGAGUUUUGGUCAUUCCCCCUCACCCAAAGUCCGUCCAAACCCUAUAUUAAAUUCUAUUAGAAGCAUUAUAUGUUAUAUUUCAUCAAAUUCCCUAAAACAAAAAACCUAAGCUCCUACAUCCAACUUCAAGAACCUCCAAAGUUCACUAUUAAUUCUNNNNNNNNNNNNNNNNNNNNNNNNNNNNNNNNNNNNNNNNNNNNNNNNNNNNNNNNNNNNNNNNNNNNNNNNNNNNNNNNNNNNNNNNNNNNNNNNNNNNNNNNNNNNNNNNNNNNNNNNNNNNNNNNNNNNNNNNNNNNNNNNNNNNNNNNNNNNNNNNNNNNNNNNNNNNNNNNNNNNNNNNNNNNNNNNNNNNNNNNNNNNNNNNNNNNNNNNNNNNNNNNNNNNNNNNNNNNNNNNNNNNNNNNNNNNNNNNNNNNNNNNNNNNNNNNNNNNNNNNNNNNNNNNNNNNNNNNNNNNNNNNNNNNNNNNNNNNNNNNNNNNNNNNNNNNNNNNNNNNNNNNNNNNNNNNNNNNNNNNNNNNNNNNNNNNNNNNNNNNNNNNNNNNNNNNNNNNNNNNNNNNNNNNNNNNNNNNNNNNNNNNNNNNNNNNNNNNNNNNNNNNNNNNNNNNNNNNNNNNNNNNNNNNNNNNNNNNNNNNNNNNNNNNNNNNNNNNNNNNNNNNNNNNNNNNNNNNNNNNNNNNNNNNNNNNNNNNNNNNNNNNNNNNNNNNNNNNNNNNNNNNNNNNNNNNNNNNNNNNNNNNNNNNNNNNNNNNNNNNNNNNNNNNNNNNNNNNNNNNNNNNNNNNNNNNNNNNNNNNNNNNNNNNNNNNNNNNNNNNNNNNNNNNNNNNNNNNNNNNNNNNNNNNNNNNNNNNNNNNNNNNNNNNNNNNNNNNNNNNNNNNNNNNNNNNNNNNNNNNNNNNNNNNNNNNNNNNNNNNNNNNNNNNNNNNNNNNNNNNNNNNNNNNNNNNNNNNNNNNNNNNNNNNNNNNNNNNNNNNNNNNNNNNNNNNNNNNNNNNNNNNNNNNNNNNNNNNNNNNNNNNNNNNNNNNNNNNNNNNNNNNNNNNNNNNNNNNNNNNNNNNNNNNNNNNNNNNNNNNNNNNNNNNNNNNNNNNNNNNNNNNNNNNNNNNNNNNNNNNNNNNNNNNNNNNNNNNNNNNNNNNNNNNNNNNNNNNNNNNNNNNNNNNNNNNNNNNNNNNNNNNNNNNNNNNNNNNNNNNNNNNNNNNNNNNNNNNNNNNNNNNNNNNNNNNNNNNNNNNNNNNNNNNNNNNNNNNNNNNNNNNNNNNNNNNNNNNNNNNNNNNNNNNNNNNNNNNNNNNNNNNNNNNNNNNNNNNNNNNNNNNNNNNNNNNNNNNNNNNNNNNNNNNNNNNNNNNNNNNNNNNNNNNNNNNNNNNNNNNNNNNNNNNNNNNNNNNNNNNNNNNNNNNNNNNNNNNNNNNNNNNNNNNNNNNNNNNNNNNNNNNNNNNNNNNNNNNNNNNNNNNNNNNNNNNNNNNNNNNNNNNNNNNNNNNNNNNNNNNNNNNNNNNNNNNNNNNNNNNNNNNNNNNNNNNNNNNNNNNNNNNNNNNNNNNNNNNNNNNNNNNNNNNNNNNNNNNNNNNNNNNNNNNNNNNNNNNNNNNNNNNNNNNNNNNNNNNNNNNNNNNNNNNNNNNNNNNNNNNNNNNNNNNNNNNNNNNNNNNNNNNNNNNNNNNNNNNNNNNNNNNNNNNNNNNNNNNNNNNNNNNNNNNNNNNNNNNNNNNNNNNNNNNNNNNNNNNNNNNNNNNNNNUCAGUUGGGGCAUGUCUCAAUGGCUCGCUUGUUUUAUUGAUUUUCUUAGAGGCUUGUCAGACUAGUAUAGAUGUUGGGAGUUGACUAAUAAGUCGUAUUUUGUUAUCUUUCUGAAAUUCUUUUAUUCUUGGAUGAUGAUUAGUCUGUUGAUAUUUAAGGGUUAUUUAUGGAAACCCCGUUGAUUUGUGUUGAACUGAAUGAAAAUGGCUCAAAGGGUUAGCUUAGGGCUACUCGUAGCCUCAAGCACCAUGUGAUGCUCCAGGACCCAUUUUCCCGGGCGUUACACCCUAGAACUAGCACUAACAGAGGAUACCGCUACGACCGACAAGACACCAACCAUUUGGAAUGCUGAAGAAGAAGCUUGGAAGAAUUGGACUUGUACUUCGUACCUGGGAUCUUGGUAGAUUGAACAAGUAGUAGUUUUUGAAAUACUUUUGAAAUAGCACGAUUCUAAAACUGAGGCUUGAUCGUGUCUAAAACUUUAUGUUGUGCUGCCUUAUCUUUUGAAAGCUUAAUUGCAAAAUCUAUGAAUGAAUUAUCUAUUUUCUACAAUGUAUUACUCUCUAUUUUUUAUAUAUAAAUUAUCAAAUCUUCCAAUUACGAUUGUGACACAAUGAAACAAAUGAUCAAAUUCUGAUUUCAAGGGAGACUUCGAAGCCUGACUGAGAGUUCAAACAACCGACCAAGGAACAUGACAAACAUGAGAGUGCUCGAGCAUAAAGAGUACUCGUUCAAGGGAAGUCAAGACACUACAUAAAGAAAGACUUUAGAUAGGUUUUAUGUAAUAUAAAUUUCACUUAUCAUGUACUUACAAACUACGUUUCGACCUAAUUCCCUUGGCAGGAUACGUGGGCAGCCCCAUAGGGUUCGGUCUUACUAUAUAAAACAAAACUCAAAAUCUCUUAUUUGUAAUAGGAGAACUACGCCUUACCUUAUUCCCUCAGCGGGAUACGUAGGCCACCCACACAUGGUUCGGUCACACUAGGACAAAACUAGAACUUCUUCCUUAUGUAAUUUUGAACUACAUGCGGCUUGAUUCCCUAGGUAGGAUAUGUAGGCAGCCUAUAGCAGGUUCGGCCCCUUUAUUAGAAAAACUCCAAAUCAUUUCAUGUACUUACGAACUACGUUUCGACCUGAUUCUCUCAACGAGAUACGUAGGCUGUAUAAGGUUCGGUCUUAUCAAACCAAAAGGUAUAUACCUUCUACACCCCCAAGACCAGGGCAGAUUUUGAAAAGAUAUCAACAAGGAUGAUUAGAUAUUGUCAAGAUGCAUUUGACUUGGGCUACCAGACGAGGAGUAGAAAUAUAAAGGGCAUUCAUUUUGUCUCAACGUAUCACAGUCUAAGAUUGGCAUAAGUUCUGAAAAAUGUACAUAUUUGGGCAUAUACGUAUAUUUAUUAAACAUUUUCUUACGAAGAUUUUGCUACUGGUUCAUUUGUCAAGUCUCAAUGGAGAUCACAAAGGUAUGAACAGAUGAGAUGAAUGGAGGGUCAACAAAGCCAAGCCUCGAGUCAAUACGAAUCAACGCCCCCUCCCAACUAAAGAUUUUUCUUUGAGUACAGGGACAGUAAAAUGUAGGAUGACAGCACUAAGUUGAUGUCAAGGCUACCAAUCAUAGCCAUGAACAUCAUUUGGCCCCUUAGAGGAAUUGCUCAGGAAGGACAAAUGUCGAAGAUCAGAGAACAAUACUCAAGCGAUCAAUAACAAUAUCUCCAGCCAAGCGGCCCACCUCAUUUUAUUCUUUACUUUGCUAUCUUAUUUUGUAAUUCAUUUUUUCCACUUGGUAAUUUUUCCUUGAAUUCUUGCAGGAAUCAAUUUGGGGUCUUCGAAGACAAGCGGAUGAGUUACAACAAUCAACAUUAGUAUCCGAAGACAACUGGAGACUCAUUCAUCACGAAAUCCCCAAAGACAACCGGCGGAUUUCGCAACAAUCAACAUUGUUUCCUGGAAGACAACCGUAGACACCAUCAUCAUCAAGUUUUCAUAGACAAUUGGAGACACUAUGCAUCAUUAACUCUCCAAAGACAAUUGGAAGACAUCAUUGAGUCCCUGGAGACAAACAGCGGCCUCAGUUUACAUUAAAGUUUUCGAACACAACCGAAAACUUCAUUACAUCAUCAACAUAAGCCGAGUGGCUACACUCUUACUUUACCUUCUACUUUACUAAUUACUUUAAAUUACUUUACCAACUUUAACGACUUUACCUUAAAUCUUACAGACAUCAUUGAUCAUCAAGUCUUCAAAAACAACUGGAGACGUCAUGCACUCUCUGAAGACAAUUAGAGACAUCAUUCAGUCCCAUAGACAAGCGGAGACUUCAUUCAACAUUAAAACUUUCGAAGACAACUGGAUGCUUCAUUGCAGCACCCGCAAAAGCCGACCGGCUACAUUCUUACCUUACUUUUUCUUACAUAUUUCAUAUUUUUUUUCAACUGGUAGUUUUUCCGUGAGUUUUAUUUUUGACAAGGAAACACAAUUUGCGAUAAUAAUACAUACAUCACCACGUGGAACUACUCUCUUAGCAGCAAACUGGGGCAAGCUAGUGCAAUGUCAAGCAUCCCUAGCUACGUCAAGGAUUUUGGCAAAGAAACUCAACUCAGCUCAACUCAAGUUUUCAUUUCAACUUUCAGUAUCAUCACCCUGUGCCGUCUUAAUCUGACACUGGGGCAAUUUUUGAAAAUUCUCAAUCUCCUUUUCUCUCAAAAUUCCCAUCAGAUAUUAUCAUUUAACACCUCCUCAUUCCUAGCUAUCCCUAAACAACCAUUCAGGGACAAGUGCACUCGUAUCCACUCCAUUCGUGCUGAAAUCAUUCUCGAAGAAACUCAGUGUCAGCAUAAUUCUACACUGGGACAAAAAUUUGAUGUUUACUAAAUUUUGCUAUGAUUCAAACUACAAAUGGCCUAAUUUCUCACAAAAUCCAAGAUAUGUAGGCAGCUCAGAAAUCAGAGCCCGGCCAUAAUCUUCCUAACACUUUAUUUUUCUCGAGACAAAAUUUGUUAUGUCAACGCGAUUGCCCAAAGAUUUUCACACAAAUCUUCGGUCACUCAGGGGCAACUGUUGACACCCAAUUUUGGCUCACCCUUUUUCCUUUAAUUACUUUUCCGAUGCUUCUUGGCCCUAAAUAAUUUUUUGAAAAUUAAAUAAUAAAUAAAAUUUGCAUUUUUAUCUCUAUUUCUAUAAUUUUUUGAAUAAUAAAAGCGGAUUUAUUUUUCUAUCAUCUUAUAAAAUAUCUUAAUUAAAUAUAAUUAAAUAUUUCAGCAUCAAAAUCACAAAAUAUCUUUUGAAACUCGCAUUUGCUUUUUCUAAUUUUAUUUUUAGGCGAUAUUGUGGCCAUAUAUAUAUAUAUAUAUAUAUAUAUAUAUAUAUAUAUAUAUAUACGUAUAUAUAUAUUGUUAUAUAAAAUAAAUAUUUUAUAUUAUAUUCUUAUUGUUACAUAUGUUUUCUUAUAUUCUUAAUGUUACACACACACACAUAUAUAUACAUAUAUAUAUAUAUAUAUAUUGUUAAUAAUAAAUAACAAAAAGAUAUCUAAUUGGAUGCUUAUACAAAUUAUGUCAGUAAUUUGUGUACGUUAAACUAAAAAUAACUUUAGAAUAUCACGAAGAAUCGAUAAAAUUAAUUAUAGUAGAAAAAGAGCAUCCGGGACGAUAAUAAUCCAAUUACAAUCUUUAUUUUAUUCAAACCCAACUUUUAUUCACAAAUCACAGUCAAACUGUACGAAAAUUAGCCCGAAAUGCAGUAUAUAUAUAUAUAUUGUUAAUAUUAAAUCACAAAAAGAUAUCAAUUUGGACGCUUAUACAAAUUAUGUCUGUAAUUUGUGUAUGUUAAACUAAAAAUAAGUUUAGAAUAUCAGGAAGCAUCGAUAAAAUUAAUUUCAGUAGAAAAAGAGCAUCCGGGUCGAUAAUAACUCGAUACCAGUCUUUAUUUUGUUCAAUCCCAACUUUUAUUCACAAAUCUCAGUCAAAGCGCCCGAAAAUUAGCCCGAAACGCAGUACAAUUUCCAUGUUCGCUUCACCAUGCCAUCCAACAAACACAAAUCAAUCUAGUCCGUAAAUUUAUUUAUUUUUAACCAAAAGAUUCGAAACUUUCAACUUUAUAAAUAAUUUAUAUCUAUCUAUAUGUAUAUAUUCCAUACAUUUAAUUAUUUUCUAUUAAAUUUAAACCAUCCAAUUAAAUGAUCGGACAGAUAAAAAUAACCAUUUUUAAAUUAAUUUUUAUAUUCAUCAUAUACAUACUUUUUAAAAAAAAAAGUAUUUGUCUGAUCGGACGGAUCAAAAUUAGUCAAGAAUCCAUAACAAAGCACGCGUAUUCCCCUUCCCAAUAUACCUUUUACGCGUGCCUUCCCCCCUUCCCCAAAGCUGCAAUGCCAUGUCCCUUUAAUUUUCCAAACAAACAGAAAAACCAAACGCCCUUAUUCCCUUCUCUCCUCCUCCUCUCCUCUCCUCUACAAUCACCAAACGGGAAACCUAUCUGCACCACCAUAGCUGCCCAACCUGCAAAUAUUCUCCCCAAUUUAAUUUCCCCAACCUGCAAUUUUCUCCUUUGGUAGCAAAAAUAGACCUGAAUGUAUGCUACGAUAUAAAAUCAAUUUCAAGUCCACAUUAAAUGCUCGAAAAUCGUUCAAAUUUGAAGAGGGGUUUGUUCCUUUUAAUUCUUUAUAUUUUGAUUUCCCCCUUUUAUUGUGCCCGUUGGCCUCUUUGAAUUUUGGUUUCAAAUACGGACUUUUAAGUCCGGAUUUGGCUAUAAAUAGUCGUAUUUUAACUCCUUGGAGACAAGUUUUUCAGGGAGGGAUAACUGAGAAGUGAUUCACAAAGAUUAGGCACAAUUCAGUUCCUCUUCAACACUACCACUUUUUUAUCAUUCACGAGUUCUAUCGGAGUUGAGUUCGAAGAGAAAUUCGUUGCCCAAAACUUGACGGAAAGCCUCUGUUUGCUGCCCAACAAAAGGUAUGAAAUCAUCCUUUUCUCACUUAUAUUCACCUUCCUUUCUUUCAUCUGGUUUUGGUUCUAUGGAUACAUAAUUUGUUUCUAGCCUUAGUCUUUGUUAUCACUGUCUUCGUUGCCUUUACGAAUAAAAUAAUUUUGAUUUUUGGUGAAAUUACUUUGGGAUGAAAUGAAUAUAUGGUUUGUGGUCAAAUUAUGCAAAAUAUGGGAAAAUCUACUCUUAUUUGACUUGAGCUUCUCUUUCGUCGAUUUGAAUACAUAAAUAUUUGGUUAUAAUUUUAUUUAAAGCAUGUUGUUGGUCUUGUUGUUCAUUAUCCACCAAAUAAGUACCGGGAUAUGGUAUCACUCUAAGUUUAUGUUGUUUUCAAUAUGUAAAAUCUGCUCUUUAUCUCACUUUUCAUCUCCUUCUCUUUCAACUAUUUUUUAUCCUAUGAAUAUGUGAUUCUUGAGUUCACAUAGUUGCUGUGAUUUUUCAACCCUGUCGGUUAAUACAACUUUUGAUUCUAGCAUGGUUUUGUAUGCCCAGUGUAUUUUUUAUUGCAAGUUAGAUUGUAUUGUUGUUGUUUGUUGUCUGCCGACUGAAUUCAGGGAAUUCGAUUUCAUCUUAAUCCUUUUUUUUUUCAAAAUAUUGUGGUCUUGUCUUCAAGAUAUGUGAUAUACUUUGUUCUCUGAGAAAUGAGUAAAAUGCGUGGACAUUUUUUAUCCCGAGUUACGUGAAAUUUGAAAACGCGCUUCUAGGUUUGAUCCCAUUUUAUAUUUUUUCAAGAAGGUUCUGCCUCAUUUCUAGCAAAAGAGUAGUUUUAUGAAUCAAAUGUGGGAAGUCCCCUCCCCGUCAUUUCAUUUUAUGAGUUUCAAUACCUUCUCGGCGUCGUUUGAAUAGGUGUAUCUAUGUUGACCGUUGUUUCAUGUUUGAAGAAAUGUAUUUUGGUUUACUGUUCGCCAAUAUUCACGAAUUACUUGCUCGUGGAUGUCACAUGAAUCUGUUUGUUCUGCGUUUAGAAUCGGUCGACUUGUCAUUUAAUUUACAUUUAGAAUUUGCCUAAUAUCCAGUGUCUUUUAACACCUUUAGUAAGAUUUUAAUAAACUUUGUGCUUAAAAGAGUGAUGUUGGCCGAGUUACUCGGACCACAUUGGUGGAAUUAGUCAAUAAUGAUGACGCCACAUCCAUGUCAUUUGCUUAAGUCUUGUGUGAACUGCCUAUAAUACUGUGUAUGACUCGCCUAUAAGACAUCUUCUUAUAAUUUCAUGGAAGUUUAUUUGGAUAAAGUUUCCUAACUUUCAAAUAAGCAUGCAGUCCUUCAAUUUCUCCAACUAGCUAGUCCGACUAGGAAUAACUUUAAAUUUACUUGAAUAUAUAUUUAAGCACCUAUAGUUUCUUAGGAUUUUUUUGCUGCUUGGAAGGAUUGUCUGCUCUCUUUACUGUGCUCUUACCAUCUGUUAUUCUUUAUUAGUUGUAGCUAACAACCAUAAAUUGGAUUAUGUUCAAAGUGAUCCCUCUUGUUCGUUUCAUGCAUGUGCAAGAUAACGUUAGUAAAUUGGGUCAUCUUCCUACAUUAAUUUGAUUAAUAUCCUUUCAUCGUUUCAUGUUGUUUCUAACUAUUUGUAUUAUCCACUAAUCCUUAUCUUUUAUUUUUCAUGUGAACUCGGGAGUUGAAGUUUCGAUUGAAACUCCAUUUUGACCCGAAGAUCGAGUCAACGGCCAUAGGACAAGAGCUUGGGGGUCNNNNNNNNNNNNNNNNNNNNNNNNNNNNNNNNUUGAUUUUGUUAUGCCAAUUGCUUAUUCAUUUAGUGUCCGUGAACAUAACAAAGAUACAUGGUUAACCACUUAUUUUACAAUUUUGUAUCUGUGAAUCACCCUUCUUUUUUUUUUAAAAUAAAUGGAAAACUUUGUUUUAAGUGCAAUCUCAAAAUUAAGAAAGAAUGCGUUUUUGAAAAUGAUUAAAAUAGCUUGUGAUAGCCUUCAUUUUCCAAAUUAUUAAUCAAUGAAUUUUAUCAUCUAAAUCAAAUAUUUUAAAUAAGUCGCUAAAGGACUUUCACUGGCCAAACUCUUUUAAAAUUUGCAAAUACCUAAACAAUUCCAAAAUACGAUUUUCAUUGACUACUUUUUACAUUUAUUUCCUAAGUUUAUUUUAAAUUUUCAGACUCUAAAACCUCCAAAACACAAGGUGCAUAUAAAUACACCAUCAUAUAUGGCAUGUUGUUGUUGCUACUUUUAUUUAUUUAUUUUCUUAAAAUGAAAUUAUUAUUAUCAUUAUCCACACUUUAUUUCAACUAUAUAGUUAUAAGUGUAUUUUUUAUUACCUUUAUUUUUGUCUACUUUUAGUUAUUUACAAAUAAUUGGAUAAUAGCAGGAUUGCCCAUAUUUUAAGAGUGCAUAAGUCUAGUUUACUCAAAAACUAAUAUGUUAACAUAUUUUGAUAUAUUUUUAUUUUUGCGAAAAUGCAUUUGCAUAAAUUUACUCUCAAAAUAAAUAAUUUUUCAUAUUUUUUAAAGACGACAUGAUAACUUAUAAAUAAAAAAAUAAAUUUUUACACGUUAUAUUUUCCCUUACAUCAUAAGUGAUUCCUUUACGAACUUAACUUUAUAUGUCACUAGACUUUAUAUUCUUAUAAAACUAUAAAUAUUUAAAUUUUCUAUUAUGUAUAUACUAAUAUUAAAUUCUCUCUCUUCAUUCUCACAUCGCUUUGAAACAAGCGUGUGUAUUUUGAUAAUAAAUUAUAUUACUUUUCGCAUAUCGUAAAAUGUAUAUUUAUGUACCUUGUGUGUUUUCUUUGAACUUAAUAAACAUGUGUAGUUAUCAAUAUUUUGCAAAUGAUAAAAAAUAAAUAAAUUUUUCCCAAAUGUUUUUCUAAAGCUAAGUUUAAGGACUAUCUUUGGAUAGGCUCUGAGGGGUGCUUAAUACCUUUCCCUCGAGUAAUCAAAAUCCUUACUUAGAAUCUCACUGAUUUUCGCAGAUUAAAAACAGAGUUUUUCUACCACAAGAAAUGGUUUUCCUAAUUUUCCUAAAAAGUUAGGUAGCGACUCAAAAACAAAACAAACAAUUUUUUUCAAAACCAGUAAGCGUCUCUACGACGACCAUACGUUGCAGAAUGUUUCAGCCGGUCUGAAAUGGGUGCGACAAUCACCAUCUACAGACCCUUUUCUACCUCCCUCAACGUUGUUUUCAUAUCUCUUGGCAUCUUCACUUUGUUCAGGAAGCUCAUCCGAAUCCCUCUGUAUUGUAGCCUUUUUUUUGGGUGGUCAAAUGUUGAUCCACUUUCACAUUCUUUUCUUUUGAGAGACAUGUUUUACCUAUAAACAACAGAAAAAUAAAAAUUAAGUUACAAUUGAUUUAUGCAUAAAUUUAAAAAAAUACAUUACAAACACCACCAAUACCAACACCAACAACCACCACCACAAACACCACCAACCAAUGCCACAAACAUCAGGAAUAUCAAUACCACCGACAACCACCACAAACACCACAAACUAAUGUCACCACCAGUGCCAUCACGAAGACCACAAACACCACCACCAAUACCUCAAACACCAUCCAACAAUACCACGAUAGUCAACGAAAUACUGCGACAGAAACUAGGGUUUUCUCGAGUUCUUCCCAUGAUUCUUCCAUCAAAACUCACAAUUGUAAAUCCAUUCUCGAUAAAUACAACUAAAUGUUUUAUUUAAAAGCCCUUAUUUUUUAGAAAAAAAUAACAAAUAUAGAACUCUUCUCGAACUCUGUUACCUAUGAAGACAAAGAAAAUGACUGAUACAAGCAAGAAUGAAGUCGAAAAUAACACCUAUAUGGUCGGAAAUGAGAAGAAAAACAAUCUUUUGUGAAGGGUUGAAAAAUUUGUAGAGUAGCUCUUGUCUGUAUUGUAUUGUUGAGUGAGAAUGAGAGAGAGAAGAGCAAGAAAUUGAGAUUUGAAAUGAUGAAACGUUUUGUAUGGGUUGAUUUGUAUUUUGAAAAAGAAUGAUAAGUUUUGAAAAUGUUAAUUUGGUCUAAAUUGAUCUAAAUUAUUUUUAAAAUUACAAAAGAUAUGCUUACUUUUUAACCCUCUCAUCGUGCAAUUGCCAAAAGGGUACUAUUAGUCUAAUAUAUAAACUCAAUUGAAAUUGUAUAAAAAUAAUUAAAGUUGUAGUUGACCCUAUGAACUCACCCCUGGUCCUAGAUUAACCAAUUUAGGUACUAUUAGUCUAACAUAUGAACUCAAUUGAAAUUGUAUAAAAAAUAAAUUUUCAACAUGUUGCAACAGAUGAUCGAAUCUGUUGUAAAUUAUCAAACAGAUUAAGUCAUUUGUUGCAAUAUAUUACCCAUCUGUUGUAAAUUAUCAAAUGGAUUAAGUCAUAUGUCGUAAUAGAUUACCCAUCUGUUGUAAAACAUUAAAUUGGCACUGUCAUGUAUUGUAGUUGAUAUUAUGAGAACUCACCCCUAGUCCUAGAUUAAUCAAUUGAGGUAUUAGUUGAACAUAUGAGGUAGUAAGAAUCGGUUCAAAUCAGAGUGAUCGAUCGACGACUCUGGUCGGGGGGAAUGCAAUAUCGUCUCAUUAUGUAAAUGCCAAAACACUCAAUUGAAGCUAUAGUUGACCUUAUGAGAACUCACCCCUAGUCCUAGAUUAUUCAGUAAAGGUAUUAGUACCCUAGUCCUAGAUUAAUCAAUUAAGGUAUUAGUUGAACAUAUGAGGUAGUAAGAAUCAGUUCGGCUCAGAAUAAUCGAUCAACGACUCUGGUUGGGAGGAACACAAUAUCGUCUCAUCAUGCAACUGCCAAAAGACUCAAUUAAAGCUGUAGUUGACACCCUAUGAGAACUCACCCCUAGUCCUAGAUUAUUCAAUAAAGGUAUUAGUCUAACAUAUGAAAGCAAUUGAAAUUAUAUAUAAACAAAUUUUCAACCUGUUGCAACAAAUAUAUUUUUUGUUGGAUUAAAUCAAAUAGAUUAGGCAAUCUGUUGUAACAUAUUAUGUAUUUGUUGUAAAAUAUCAAACAGAUUAUGUCAUUUAUUGCGAUAGAUGACCGAAUCUGUUGUAAAUUAUCAAAAAAUUAAGUCAUCUGCUGCAACAGAUUACCCAUCUAUUGUAAAUUAUCAAAUGGAUUAAGUUAUAUGUCGCAAUAGAUUACCCAUCUGUUCUAAACCAUCAAAUUUGCGCUAUCAUCUGUUAUAGUUAACAUUAUGAGAACUCACCCCUAGUCCUAGAUUAAUCAAUUGAGGUAUUAGUUGAACAUAUGAGGUAGUAAGAAUCGGUUCAAAUCAGAGUGAUCGAUCGACGACUCUGGUCGGGGGGAAUGCAAUAUCGUCUCAUUAUGUAAAUGCCAAAACACUCAAUUGAAGCUAUAGUUGACCUUAUGAGAACUCACCCCUAGUCCUAGAUUAUUCAGUAAAGGUAUUAGUACCCUAGUCCUAGAUUAAUCAAUUAAGGUAUUAGUUGAACAUAUGAGGUAGUAAGAAUCAGUUCGGCUCAGAAUAAUCGAUCAACGACUCUGGUUGGGAGGAACACAAUAUCGUCUCAUCAUGCAACUGCCAAAAGACUCAAUUAAAGCUGUAGUUGACACCCUAUGAGAACUCACCCCUAGUCCUAGAUUAUUCAAUAAAGGUAUUAGUCUAACAUAUGAAAGCAAUUGAAAUUAUAUAUAAACAAAUUUUCAACCUGUUGCAACAAAUAUAUUUUUUGUUGGAUUAAAUCAAAUAGAUUAGGCAAUCUGUUGUAACAUAUUAUGUAUUUGUUGUAAAAUAUCAAACAGAUUAUGUCAUUUAUUGCGAUAGAUGACCGAAUCUGUUGUAAAUUAUCAAAAAAUUAAGUCAUCUGCUGCAACAGAUUACCCAUCUAUUGUAAAUUAUCAAAUGGAUUAAGUUAUAUGUCGCAAUAGAUUACCCAUCUGUUCUAAACCAUCAAAUUUGCGCUAUCAUCUGUUAUAGUUAACAUUAUGAGAACUCACCCCUAGUCCUAGAUUAAUCAAUUGAGGUAUUAGUUGAACAUAUGAGGUAGUAAGAAUCGGUUCAAAUCAGAGUGAUCGAUCGACGACUCUGGUCGGGGGGAAUGCAAUAUCGUCUCAUUAUGUAAAUGCCAAAACACUCAAUUGAAGCUAUAGUUGACCUUAUGAGAACUCACCCCUAGUCCUAGAUUAUUCAGUAAAGGUAUUAGUACCCUAGUCCUAGAUUAAUCAAUUAAGGUAUUAGUUGAACAUAUGAGGUAGUAAGAAUCAGUUCGGCUCAGAAUAAUCGAUCAACGACUCUGGUUGGGAGGAACACAAUAUCGUCUCAUCAUGCAACUGCCAAAAGACUCAAUUAAAGCUGUAGUUGACACCCUAUGAGAACUCACCCCUAGUCCUAGAUUAUUCAAUAAAGGUAUUAGUCUAACAUAUGAAAGCAAUUGAAAUUAUAUAUAAACAAAUUUUCAACCUGUUGCAACAAAUAUAUUUUUUGUUGGAUUAAAUCAAAUAGAUUAGGCAAUCUGUUGUAACAUAUUAUGUAUUUGUUGUAAAAUAUCAAACAGAUUAUGUCAUUUAUUGCGAUAGAUGACCGAAUCUGUUGUAAAUUAUCAAAAAAUUAAGUCAUCUGCUGCAACAGAUUACCCAUCUAUUGUAAAUUAUCAAAUGGAUUAAGUUAUAUGUCGCAAUAGAUUACCCAUCUGUUCUAAACCAUCAAAUUUGCGCUAUCAUCUGUUAUAGUUAACAUUAUGAGAACUCACCCCUAGUCCUAGAUUAAUCAAUUGAGGUAUUAGUUGAACAUAUGAGGUAGUAAGAAUCGGUUCAAAUCAGAGUGAUCGAUCGACGACUCUGGUCGGGGGGAAUGCAAUAUCGUCUCAUUAUGUAAAUGCCAAAACACUCAAUUGAAGCUAUAGUUGACCUUAUGAGAACUCACCCCUAGUCCUAGAUUAUUCAGUAAAGGUAUUAGUACCCUAGUCCUAGAUUAAUCAAUUAAGGUAUUAGUUGAACAUAUGAGGUAGUAAGAAUCAGUUCGGCUCAGAAUAAUCGAUCAACGACUCUGGUUGGGAGGAACACAAUAUCGUCUCAUCAUGCAACUGCCAAAAGACUCAAUUAAAGCUGUAGUUGACACCCUAUGAGAACUCACCCCUAGUCCUAGAUUAUUCAAUAAAGGUAUUAGUCUAACAUAUGAAAGCAAUUGAAAUUAUAUAUAAACAAAUUUUCAACCUGUUGCAACAAAUAUAUUUUUUGUUGGAUUAAAUCAAAUAGAUUAGGCAAUCUGUUGUAACAUAUUAUGUAUUUGUUGUAAAAUAUCAAACAGAUUAUGUCAUUUAUUGCGAUAGAUGACCGAAUCUGUUGUAAAUUAUCAAAAAAUUAAGUCAUCUGCUGCAACAGAUUACCCAUCUAUUGUAAAUUAUCAAAUGGAUUAAGUUAUAUGUCGCAAUAGAUUACCCAUCUGUUCUAAACCAUCAAAUUUGCGCUAUCAUCUGUUAUAGUUAACAUUAUGAGAACUCACCCCUAGUCCUAGAUUAAUCAAUUGAGGUAUUAGUUGAACAUAUGAGGUAGUAAGAAUCGGUUCAAAUCAGAGUGAUCGAUCGACGACUCUGGUCGGGGGGAAUGCAAUAUCGUCUCAUUAUGUAAAUGCCAAAACACUCAAUUGAAGCUAUAGUUGACCUUAUGAGAACUCACCCCUAGUCCUAGAUUAUUCAGUAAAGGUAUUAGUACCCUAGUCCUAGAUUAAUCAAUUAAGGUAUUAGUUGAACAUAUGAGGUAGUAAGAAUCAGUUCGGCUCAGAAUAAUCGAUCAACGACUCUGGUUGGGAGGAACACAAUAUCGUCUCAUCAUGCAACUGCCAAAAGACUCAAUUAAAGCUGUAGUUGACACCCUAUGAGAACUCACCCCUAGUCCUAGAUUAUUCAAUAAAGGUAUUAGUCUAACAUAUGAAAGCAAUUGAAAUUAUAUAUAAACAAAUUUUCAACCUGUUGCAACAAAUAUAUUUUUUGUUGGAUUAAAUCAAAUAGAUUAGGCAAUCUGUUGUAACAUAUUAUGUAUUUGUUGUAAAAUAUCAAACAGAUUAUGUCAUUUAUUGCGAUAGAUGACCGAAUCUGUUGUAAAUUAUCAAAAAAUUAAGUCAUCUGCUGCAACAGAUUACCCAUCUAUUGUAAAUUAUCAAAUGGAUUAAGUUAUAUGUCGCAAUAGAUUACCCAUCUGUUCUAAACCAUCAAAUUUGCGCUAUCAUCUGUUAUAGUUAACAUUAUGAGAACUCACCCCUAGUCCUAGAUUAAUCAAUUGAGGUAUUAGUUGAACAUAUGAGGUAGUAAGAAUCGGUUCAAAUCAGAGUGAUCGAUCGACGACUCUGGUCGGGGGGAAUGCAAUAUCGUCUCAUUAUGUAAAUGCCAAAACACUCAAUUGAAGCUAUAGUUGACCUUAUGAGAACUCACCCCUAGUCCUAGAUUAUUCAGUAAAGGUAUUAGUACCCUAGUCCUAGAUUAAUCAAUUAAGGUAUUAGUUGAACAUAUGAGGUAGUAAGAAUCAGUUCGGCUCAGAAUAAUCGAUCAACGACUCUGGUUGGGAGGAACACAAUAUCGUCUCAUCAUGCAACUGCCAAAAGACUCAAUUAAAGCUGUAGUUGACACCCUAUGAGAACUCACCCCUAGUCCUAGAUUAUUCAAUAAAGGUAUUAGUCUAACAUAUGAAAGCAAUUGAAAUUAUAUAUAAACAAAUUUUCAACCUGUUGCAACAAAUAUAUUUUUUGUUGGAUUAAAUCAAAUAGAUUAGGCAAUCUGUUGUAACAUAUUAUGUAUUUGUUGUAAAAUAUCAAACAGAUUAUGUCAUUUAUUGCGAUAGAUGACCGAAUCUGUUGUAAAUUAUCAAAAAAUUAAGUCAUCUGCUGCAACAGAUUACCCAUCUAUUGUAAAUUAUCAAAUGGAUUAAGUUAUAUGUCGCAAUAGAUUACCCAUCUGUUCUAAACCAUCAAAUUUGCGCUAUCAUCUGUUAUAGUUAACAUUAUGAGAACUCACCCCUAGUCCUAGAUUAAUCAAUUGAGGUAUUAGUUGAACAUAUGAGGUAGUAAGAAUCGGUUCAAAUCAGAGUGAUCGAUCGACGACUCUGGUCGGGGGGAAUGCAAUAUCGUCUCAUUAUGUAAAUGCCAAAACACUCAAUUGAAGCUAUAGUUGACCUUAUGAGAACUCACCCCUAGUCCUAGAUUAUUCAGUAAAGGUAUUAGUACCCUAGUCCUAGAUUAAUCAAUUAAGGUAUUAGUUGAACAUAUGAGGUAGUAAGAAUCAGUUCGGCUCAGAAUAAUCGAUCAACGACUCUGGUUGGGAGGAACACAAUAUCGUCUCAUCAUGCAACUGCCAAAAGACUCAAUUAAAGCUGUAGUUGACACCCUAUGAGAACUCACCCCUAGUCCUAGAUUAUUCAAUAAAGGUAUUAGUCUAACAUAUGAAAGCAAUUGAAAUUAUAUAUAAACAAAUUUUCAACCUGUUGCAACAAAUAUAUUUUUUGUUGGAUUAAAUCAAAUAGAUUAGGCAAUCUGUUGUAACAUAUUAUGUAUUUGUUGUAAAAUAUCAAACAGAUUAUGUCAUUUAUUGCGAUAGAUGACCGAAUCUGUUGUAAAUUAUCAAAAAAUUAAGUCAUCUGCUGCAACAGAUUACCCAUCUAUUGUAAAUUAUCAAAUGGAUUAAGUUAUAUGUCGCAAUAGAUUACCCAUCUGUUCUAAACCAUCAAAUUUGCGCUAUCAUCUGUUAUAGUUAACAUUAUGAGAACUCACCCCUAGUCCUAGAUUAAUCAAUUGAGGUAUUAGUUGAACAUAUGAGGUAGUAAGAAUCGGUUCAAAUCAGAGUGAUCGAUCGACGACUCUGGUCGGGGGGAAUGCAAUAUCGUCUCAUUAUGUAAAUGCCAAAACACUCAAUUGAAGCUAUAGUUGACCUUAUGAGAACUCACCCCUAGUCCUAGAUUAUUCAGUAAAGGUAUUAGUACCCUAGUCCUAGAUUAAUCAAUUAAGGUAUUAGUUGAACAUAUGAGGUAGUAAGAAUCAGUUCGGCUCAGAAUAAUCGAUCAACGACUCUGGUUGGGAGGAACACAAUAUCGUCUCAUCAUGCAACUGCCAAAAGACUCAAUUAAAGCUGUAGUUGACACCCUAUGAGAACUCACCCCUAGUCCUAGAUUAUUCAAUAAAGGUAUUAGUCUAACAUAUGAAAGCAAUUGAAAUUAUAUAUAAACAAAUUUUCAACCUGUUGCAACAAAUAUAUUUUUUGUUGGAUUAAAUCAAAUAGAUUAGGCAAUCUGUUGUAACAUAUUAUGUAUUUGUUGUAAAAUAUCAAACAGAUUAUGUCAUUUAUUGCGAUAGAUGACCGAAUCUGUUGUAAAUUAUCAAAAAAUUAAGUCAUCUGCUGCAACAGAUUACCCAUCUAUUGUAAAUUAUCAAAUGGAUUAAGUUAUAUGUCGCAAUAGAUUACCCAUCUGUUCUAAACCAUCAAAUUUGCGCUAUCAUCUGUUAUAGUUAACAUUAUGAGAACUCACCCCUAGUCCUAGAUUAAUCAAUUGAGGUAUUAGUUGAACAUAUGAGGUAGUAAGAAUCGGUUCAAAUCAGAGUGAUCGAUCGACGACUCUGGUCGGGGGGAAUGCAAUAUCGUCUCAUUAUGUAAAUGCCAAAACACUCAAUUGAAGCUAUAGUUGACCUUAUGAGAACUCACCCCUAGUCCUAGAUUAUUCAGUAAAGGUAUUAGUACCCUAGUCCUAGAUUAAUCAAUUAAGGUAUUAGUUGAACAUAUGAGGUAUUUUUGACCAAACCUAACGUUUUUAUACCAUUUUAGUGUUCAAUUUAUUUUUAAUUUUUAGGUCUAAAUUAGAUAUAUGUUAAGUUCAUCUUAUUUUACAAGGUUUGUUAAAAGUUUUGAAAACUACAAAAAUAGAGUCAUAUUUUAAUAAGCUUUUAUUUUUAUUUAUUUAUUUUAAAAAAAUAAUAAUAAAAAUUAUAUUUGUUUUCUUCUUUUAACUUUUAAUAAAGAAUCUAGUGAUAUUAAGAUUUCUUAAUCAUAUUUCUAAGGUUAUCUAUUUAACUAAUUUAUUUUUAUUAAUGUUAAAUAGAUUUUAUUAUUUUUAUUUUUUAUUUAAAAUAUUAAAAAAAUAAUAAUAAAAAUGAAAAAAACCUAAAAGCUACCCUACUUCCCCAUUAUCUCCACUUUUCCCAUACUCUCACUAAAAUACUCCCAAACACGCUCAUUACCACUCUCUAAACAUCCACCUAACAAACCACAUACUCCUUUAACAAAAAACAUCAUCAUCUUUCUUCCACCCACUGACCACUCUAAUUCUUCUUUUACAACUCACAUAUUCCCUCUCCAUUUUUUAUACAGAUCCCACGUGAACACUCCAUACCUCCACUAAAACACAUGACACACACAUCACUCACUUCCACUCAUUCCCUCUCAAAUGCACACACCACACAAAACACACUCCCUAUAUAAUACACCACACAAAUUAGAACACGGGAGGGGAGAAAAGAAGGAGAAAAGAUAUAGAAACUAGAAGAGAAAGAGACUGAAAAACAAGAGAAAAACACUUAGUAAAAAAAAAAAAAGAAGCAUAGAAAGUGAGAGAAGAGAAAGAGAAAACCCAAACGGAAGAGAAGAAGAGUUCGGGUUUAGAGUUUGAAGUGCCAUUCAAGUUUUCGAUGAUGGUGUUUUGUUUCUAUAUUCGAUUCAGUUCAUUAUACAGGUUCUUAUGUGUCAUGUACUCUUAUAAAUUUUACUACGAACAAGCAUGAAUGAAAUCGUUUAAAUAAAAUCAUGCAUUCUUUGGUUAUGAAUCGUUGAUGGAAAAUUUAUUUUUUUAUCGUGAGCGGUAUGUUUAGUCAUUUUGAGUUUGAAGUUUGAUUUUCUAUAUCGCUUGAGUGCUCAAAUUUUAAUAGUCAAAGAAUUAUCAUAUUCUGCUAUUUCAAAUUAAAAAUGACAAGAAAUGAAUAAAAAAAUUUCAUGUCAGUUAGAUGAUAGGGAUUUAAUAUAUUGUGCUUAUUCUGACAUCUUGGUCCCGUAAUCUCUUCCUGUUGCUUUUCUAAUUGACUAUAAAGUUUCUUUUCGUUAGUAAGUUCUUAUAUAAUAUGAAAUUGUGUUCAUGUUAACCCACUUAUAGAUGAUGGCCAUUAAGUGUCUUUAUGUAAUAGAUUAUUAUGUGUAAAUAAUAUAUUUGAAGGGUAUGCAAAGAACGACGGAUCGUAUCUUAACAUUCAAGAUAAGCAAUUCUUAUUAUUUAAAUAGUGGUUUGGACUAUCACUCAACUAGUUCCUGUGAUAGACAAUAGAUAAUUAAUGAAAUCCAUAUCAUGCUAUAGUUUGUUUUCUUUGUUAAGUGAGUUUUGUUCUGUGUUGGUGAAUAGAAAUAAAAAUGGGAUAUGAAUAUUUUAAUAGCCACUUGAUAACAAAGGAGAAGAGUGGUGUGAACUUAUCUUUAGUUUUUACUCCUAUUUGUUACUGUUCAAUUAAUAGUUAGGUGUGUAAUGAUAGUAUAAUCAAGAGGGAAAUUCUUUUUAAUAUUAUUGGUAGUUGGUACGUGGUCAAAUCAUGAUGUGCACUAGCUCUUCAUAAUAUUUUGAACUAAAUCAAAAUCCCAUUCGGUUGGCCUAAUUAAUUAUUAAUGUGAGGUAAAAUAAAAUGGGUUGUAAAUUUAUUCAAGAUUCAUCAUAUCCGAUAGAUUAAAAGAGAGGAAAAACCUAUUGUACGGGAGUGAACUUAUAAAAUAAUUAGUUAGGUUCUUAUCUUCUAAAUAAUUAAGAAUUUAAUAUACAAAUAAAAAUUAAUGAAAAGCUCUGCUACCAACCAUUCGUUAUAGUAAAAUUAAUUCACCAUUUGAAGCCGAUUGGAUUGGGUUGGAUAGAUUUUAAACCUUUAGGUGCUUAUUUAGACUAGGAAAAUGGGGACGCUCCAUAAAUGCCACAAAGGCACGAGAAAUAUAUCAAAACUUGUGGUAACGCCGAAAAGUACUACUAUCGGUAAGUCACGCAUCAAUACAGUUUUAAAUAUAUUCAAAAAUAAUUAAAAGGAGGGAUAGAAAUCACUUUUAGGCUAACAAAUAUUAUAUAUCCAAGAGAUUAAUUUAAGCCAGACAUAAGUCAUUAAAGCAAUUGUGCUAGAACCACGGGACUCGAGGGGUGCCUAACACCUUUCCCUCGGUCACAGAAUUCCUUAUCCGAAUUUCUAGUUCACAGAUCAAAAAUUAAGAGUCAUUGUCUUUUGAAGAUGGAUUCAAUAAGGUGACUUGGAACACUCAAACUCAAUUUCAAGUGACUACUCUAUAAAAUAAAUAAUCCCUAUUCAAAACGUCACUUUAAUUGGAAAACCCCAUUUUCUCUAAAACCAGUUGCACUAGCGGGGUUGGAUGCGGUAAAAAUAGGGGUGUGACAUCCAAUAGUGAUUGGACCGGUUUUAAUGGCUCAAUAGACUUGUUGAAAGGCCUCCAAAGCCUCGCACUGUAGUAAACAACGAUGGAACUAAUAGAAAUUUCCCUGGUCCAAAUUUAUAUGGUUGGGUUGUUGGAGGAGACUAUUAUACAACAGAAGGUGUUUGGGAGAAUACCUGUGCAGGAAGAGGGAGGUUGAGAAGGCCAUAUACCAUCUCAGUCCUUGUUUAAGAGAAAACACACGGUAGAAAGGAAAGUGUAGCAAAAUUGGUUGAUGAAAUUGACAUGGAAAAUUUAAAAACUGUAUGAGCUGUGAAUGUUAAAGUGUAUCCAAAAAUGAAAAUUCAGCAGUCGUUGAAGAAAAAGAAGAAUGGUCAAGAGGACUUGAACUGGUCACUUUGCUAAAGACUGCAACUAGCGAGAGUGUCCUCAACGAAGACCCAAAAAAUGCAGGAUCAUAACUCUAAGGAAGCAGCUGCACGAGCACAAAAGUUGGUAAGAUUGUCGGUCAGAAUUAAAACCUAAACCAAUUACUCCUGCAAUAAAAAUACGAGAUCAAGCCAAGAGGGAAAUUUCUCAAGUUAAACAUGCAUCCCAUGCCUCCUGUUUACGGCUCUGGUCAGGUCAAAGGUAGUGGAAACAAAAAGGCAUAGGAUUUUGACCCAACUUCGGACCUUUUUAUUUCUACUGCCAUUGACCUGAUCAUAGCCACAAACAGAAGGCAUGUCAUGCAAGUUAGAAUUCAGAAAUUAAUGUCUUGGCUUCCCUUAUUUUUAAUUCAGGAAUUAUUGGUUCAGGUUUUAAUUCUAACCAACAAUCUUACCACCUUUCGUACUCGCGAAGCUUCUUUCUUAGAGUUCUGGUCCUGAACUUUGUGAGAGUCUUCAUUGAGGCCACGCUCGCUAGUUGCAUUCUCGAGCAAAGUGUCCAGCUCUAGUCCUGUUGACCAUUCUUCUUCUUUUUUUUUCUAUCGACUGAUGGAUUUUUAUAUUUGGAUACACUUUCACAUUUAAAGCUCAUCCAGUUUUUUUGUUUCUCAUGUCAAUUUCAUUGUCCAAUUUUUCUACACUUUCCUUCCUACCCUGUGUUUCCACUUAAACAAGGUCUGAGAUGAUAUAUGGCCUUCUCCACCUCCCACUUUGCGCAUAGGUAUUCUCCCAAGUACCUUCUGCUGUAUAAAAGUCUCCUCCAUCAAUCUAUCCAUUAAGUUUAGACUAGGGUAAUUUCUAUUAGUUCUAUCGUUAUUUGUUGCAUUGCGAGGCUUCGAAGGCCUUUCAAGAAGUCCAUUGCGGCAUUAAAACCGGUUCAAUCACUAUUGGAUAUUUAAAUUGCCGCCAAAAUCUUGAACCCUUCCCCAAACUUGAUGCAAAAAACAUAAGCAUAAACCAUCAUUAAAUUAUAACGGGGUAUCAACACCACCGUCUUGGAACACUUUGGCCAUAUCAUUUCGCACCUAUCAAACUAAACUGUACAAUGAAGGAUCUUGUUUGAAGGAUCAAUGUCUAAUCGAUAAAAAAUUGCAUUCACAAAAUUAUUGCACUUUAUGUGUGUCUGUCAUGAUAGCCUGAUCAAUAAUAUACAUAACUCCCAUGCAUGAAAAUGGGAUCCAUUGCACGCACCUUAUUCUUCCUACCCCAUCAGGACAUGUCAGACGGUGUUGCUUAUUCAUCUGUACGCAUGUAAUGACUAUUAAAAAGAGGUUUGAAGAGUUGUGACUUUUUAUCUAACACAUUCAAAACAUCUAAUGAACUGAAUACUCCAUCUAUUGAAACUGAUGAAUCAGAUGUUAGAAGAAAUAAAAUAAUACAUAUGUUGCAUCAAAUAUCUCAUCUGUUGCACAUAUAAUCCAUCUGUUGCAACAGAUGGUAAAUCUAUUGCGACAGAUGGACGAUCUGUUGCAACAACUCAAUAAUAACAGUUGUUAUCGAGUCUCAAACCGUUUUAAAAGGUGAGAAGUAUAUUAAUGUAAAAGAAAAAGUCGCUAUUUUUUACUGAAAACAAAAUGCCACCAGUUUGAAUGUAAUUAAUACAAUGGAGCUGAACAGUCAUGCCUUUUGGCCUAAUACGUCCAGAUUCAAUUCUCUAUAAAUAGGUCCCUCCUUAAUCUUCAUUCUACUCAACCUUAUUUACUUCUUGCAUUUUUUCUUUUCGUGUGACAUCUUCAACCACUUUUCUUCAAAGAGCAUAUUCCUUUCUCGUUGAGGUAAUUUUUUUNNNNNNNNNNNNNNNNNNNNNNNNNNNNNNNNNNNNNNNNNNNNNNNNNNNNNNNNNNNNNNNNNNNNNNNNNNNNNNNNNNNNNNNNNNNNNNNNNNNNNNUUAAUGAAAAAUUUACUUUUAGUCGACUUUGACAUUUUAAUUCUUUUUCAGUUUUCAUUCUAUCUAUUUCUUCUAAACAUACAUAUAUUUUAACAUGUCAACGGUUGGAGGCAAGGAGCUAUGUUGAAUCCUGUAGCAAUAGCAAUUGUGGCUUCUUUCAAUAGAUGGUCCAUAUGUUAGAACAGAUUGGUCAUCUGUUGGGUUUCUGUCAACAGAUUAUCCAUCUAUUUUGACAGAUUUGUCAUCUGUUGGAGGAAAACAUUCUAGUUUGAUGGAACUGUUAAGAAUAAUUGUGGUCUGUUGUAUUAUUUAGUUCAUGUUUUGCCUCUUUUUAUUGAUGCACAAGUUAUUAAAAAGAUAUUUUAUAUAUAAUAAAGAUAACAUUAGGUUCACAACAAUGAGUUAAAUAUAUAAAGGUCCACAACAAACAAACAACAACACAAGUUUAUGCAAUUACAACGAUCACGGUGGAUUACGAUUCGGGCAUGUAGUUCUUUUGUAGCCAGCGCACUUACAUAUGGAGCACUUGUUUCUUCUUGAUGAAAAUGAUUCUACAACUCCACGCCUCCUCUUAUAUGACUUUCUUCCCGAUUUGAUAGUGCUUGGGUCAAUAUAUGAGGAGGUAUUAAUCUCCCCAUAAGCUCUGCAAGAACAACCCAAGAUUCUUUGGGAGGCACCGGAGUAAUAUUCCCACUAUAUGCUAUUUCAUAUUUUUUCGCCGAAUAAUAUUGAGAGGAGUGCUCGUAAAAUGCAGUUCCAUAUUUAUGAAUGUAUUGAGAUCGAAGCGCUGCCAUAGCAUGUGGACAAGGUAUUUUAUCCAAGUCAAAAACUCUACACGUACAAGAUCUUAUUUGAAGAUCGACUGUGGCAGUAUCACCAUGAAUGGUGAUACUAAAUUUAUAAUCUGCUAUUUUACGAGAGAAUAACCUAUUCCCCAAACUGACGUUCGUUGAUAUUAUUUUUUCAAUUUCGAGAACAAAUCGGGUUCUUUUUUCUGGAUUCUCGAACUACACACGCCUUUCGUUAAAAAAUUCACUAUACUUCUUGCUUAUUUUUUCAAACAGAGCCUUGAUGGGAAAUUCUCUUUCAUCGUCAAACACUGAAUUCAACGAUUUAGCUAUGCUUGAUGUCAUAAUAUUGUACCUAUACAAAAGAAUCACUUAGUACGACAUCAUACUAAACUUGUAAAUCAAAUAAGACAUUAAAUUCGUAAGAAUGUACCUAUCUGCUGGACAGAAUGCCCGGCUCCAUCGCUCAAAAUCGACACGUGUGAGAAAUUCUGCUACCAUGGGAUUCACAUCCUCUAUUUGAUUAAAAUAUUCUAAAAACUCCUCUCUACUAUAUGCUUUAUCUGCUCUAUAAAAAAGGGUGACGACCCUUUCAUUGUGAUAGUUGUUUCAAAUGUUCUCUCCAAGAUGCCUGAUGCAACAGUCAAAGUAAGCUGAAGUGAAGAAAACUUAACCCAUCUAUGGAAUCCUUGGAUGCCUAUCCAAUACAAUACACAACUCUUCGGUAUCUUCAAUGCAGCUUCGCAGUUGUUAGAAAAAAAUCUGUAAGAGGCAUCACAUUCCUUAUCUGCUACAUAAAAAGCGACAGGAAAGAUGUGAUCCAGCGCCACCACCGUUAGCAGAACUCUAUUAUACCUUGAUACAAGCACGAUCAUAAAGAUGAACAUUUUUGAGCAUUUGGGAUGUAACCUCGGAGGUGUACGAGUUGAAGUGUUAAAAAGGGCUCGAAACCACCCCUAAAAACACUCCAUGGGUGCCUAUUUGCCUACGUGGUCAUUAAAGGACUUUUUUGUCAUUUUAUAUUUUUAUUUGUAAAGUACUAUAAAUAGAACAAUAUAGGGUUUAAUUUCAUUAGUUGUUGAAUAUGGAUGAAAAAACACAUCUCUUGAGAGAGAGAGGGUCUCUUGGUCGAAACUAGGACAUGAACAAGUGUGGAUUCACUUGUGAUUGUGUAUUGCUUAGAAACGUUGGUGCUUGAGCAGUGGAAUCCCUCUUGUGUCAUGUAAGAGUGUGGUGUUGCUAUUGUAAGUCUUAAGGGUCCUUAGAUUUAAUACAUCUUUGGGUUCUUAAUCUUGUAAUAGUAUAUGUCUCACUUCUUAUCCUUACAUUUUAUGUCUUAGUUUGUGUUGUCUAGUGAACCCGUUGGUUCUUGUUGUGCCUUGUAAUGUUGUAACGUUAGAUGGUUGUUAUCCUAGUGUUUUUCUUCUUGUUAUAGUGUUGUUUUUCUCUUGUUGUUGUGGCUGUUUUUGGUGUCAUUUACACCUUGUUCUUGUUCUUGUUGGACCCGAGAUUUUGGUGUUGUUGAGCUCUCGGGUUCCUUCUUAUUUGUGGCCUAUUUUUGUGUUGUUUUUGAUACGUACCAAGUUGAUAUCGUAUCAUACCUGCUCCUUAAGAAGGUACCGUCGACGGCUAUGCCUUUCCUCAAAUGCCGAAAACCUUGAAUCCAAGCACCAUAGGAUGCAAAAAAGUACUUGAACCUUCCAUUUUCAUCCAGAUGCAGUGUCGUCUUACUUCCAGGAUUUGUGGACUCAAUUAUGUAACGGUAGGCACCCAGGACUGCAUACACACGCUCGAGUGUCCCCCUAACUAGGUCCUUGGAAAUCCCCAUUGCUGUAUAUAUCUUCUAAUAACUGACCAGGACACCCAAAUCCAUAAGGAUUUGAUUGGCCAUAACACUUGUUGAAGGGCCUUUGCUAUUGGGAAAACUACUCCUGAAAUAUUCAUCGAGGACCUUUACCGUGGCGUGAGGAUUUUGAUCUGAGAUGUGCUCUGAACCACAUGUGUGAUGCUUUUUAUAUUUAUGAAUGAUGAAUCUGUUAGAACUUGCGUACUUCACCGCUCUCAACCACUACUUGUAGUUCGAAUUAGCAUAUUUGAAGCAAAAGACACUAUUCGAAUUAAUCACCUUCUUUAUUCUGAAAUCUUUUUUCAAGCAAGAAAUAAACAAAGCGUUGGAUAAUUCAUUCUUGUCCUUGAAUGACAUUCCAAUAAAAAAGCCGGUCACAUCAUCUUGAAGAUUUCUUGAUAGUGUCGAUUGAGAAGAAUUGCACAUCGUAUCGGUCGCAUCAACGGGCAUAGGUGUUUGAUCAUCAUCUGGAGUAUUCAUGUCUAGAUCAUCCAACCUAUUAUCAAAGAAGUCUUGUUGUUCUUCUUUUUCUACGUUCUGGUUCUCAUUCUCUCUCGUCUUUUCAACCAUGCACACCCUUAACACCGGCCUGGUUGAAUCACUUAGAUAAGCACGCAACCGAACCUGAUCGGUUAUCUUGAAAGGCAGUACCCUCUGAUUUUCAAAGGAGCUGUGCAUGUAGCUGAUGGCGAGUUAUUUUAGUUGACAAUUCAGUCCACAAAAGCUGAUGAUUAAGUUCACAAAAUCAUCAUAUAAAACAUCACUUUGGACUGUCAUAGUUAUCGUCUCUAGCAUUUUGCACUCCUUCCAACGCCAUACAUAUCAGUUGCUCUUCUCGAUCCAUUGACCAUGAUAAUUCACCCCUAUUGUUAUUGAUCCCUACAUUAUUGGUACCCUACAUUAUUGGUACCUAAAUAAAGUCAUUCAUUAAAAAAAAUUGAUAGUGAUUUCAUAGUUCCGUAAAUGAAUCCCAACAGAUGUGUAAUAUAUUGCAAUUGGUAAGUGAUCAGUCGCAACAGAUCACUUACCUGUUGGGAUUCAUGUUAUGCUCCUGAAUAUCUAUUGCAACAGAUGAAGCAUCUAUUGGGAUUGAUGUUAUAGUACUAAAUCAACUAUGAAGCUGAUUCCAACAGAUGAGUGACAUAUUACAACAGAUAAUUAACCUGUUGUGACAGAUGACUUACCUAUUACAACAGGUUAUUAAUCUGUUGUAACAUAUAUUUACCCUAUUGAAACAGAUAUUUAUUAUGUCGCACCAGAUAAAUAAUCUGUUGCAACGAAUUAGUCAUAUGUUACAACAGAUGACCUAUUUGUUUAAAUAUGAAUCGACAUAUCAGUAUUCUAUUGAAAUAGAUGUCUCAUCUGUCACAACAGAUCUUAUGUUGGAUUCAUGAUUGGGUUCUAUCCAUUAGUGGAAAAAACAACAACACAAUAGCAGUUACCCAGAUGACAAAUUCAACUAAAAAUCAUAAUUUGACUUACCAAGGUCUCCUUAUGAAGUAAUGCCAAAAGUGGAAAGUGACGUUCGAAAUAAAAUUUGACCUAAGAAAUUUGUCAAAUAGCAACAGAGCGGUAACAACAACAACAACAACAACAACAAAUGGUCAACCAGCAGAAGAUGAAGAUGAUAAUGAAGUAGAAGAUGAUGAUAAUGAAGAAGAAGAUGAUGAAUAAAGCAGCAACAACAAUGAACAACAAAAAUCGCUAAGAGAGAGAAAAAAACAAUGGAUGAGAAGAGAGAGAAAGGCACCAUUUUUCCCUCUAUUUUCCAUUAUAUGGGUAAACAUUUGGAUCAAAGUAUAAAUUUAAAAACUUGUGGGCUGUUUUCAAAUUUUCCCAACUUUCUUAAUCCAUAAUAAAGUAAUUGUCACCUCCACUCAAUAAUUAAGACUUGUGUCACCCACACCUCAUUUUAAAAGUCUUUUGUCACCUGUGGCCUAAAGCUCCAAGUUACUGCAGCUGCAAUAAUAUUGUAUUUCUUGGAUCUAAAAACAUAUGAAUUGUUUGGAUGUGAAAUAGUUAUAAAAUAUAAAAGAAUAAUGAUAGAAUAAAUCAAUAACAGAAUGGAAUUUGUACCAAACAUGAGUUACAGUGUGAUGAUUGUGAUCUCGUUAUUAUUAACUUGAGAUUUCAGGUACGAGCCUUUAGGAAUAGAAAAAAUACUACUGGAAGCACCGCAUCUAGAAUGAAUCCUGCAAUGCGUGACAUCAAAUUUAGUCGAACUAUUGUGCGGAUAUCGAACACUGGGUGAGAAACAUAAAAAAAAAUUGUAGUAGGAUAGUUUAUAUACCUUCACCCUUAAUUAGAGAUAUCGGAUUUGAGCCCCCUAAUAAUGAAAAAAAAAAGUCUUACUACAAGCACCGCCCCUAGAGAUAAGUUAUGCAAUCGAAUUUAGUCAGACUUCGAUGAGGAUAGAUACAUUCUGAUUCGAGCCCUAGUAAUGAAAAAGAAAACUUAUAAAACAAUAGCGAAACUAAAAAUAAGUUUUGCAAUACUUGCAUUCAAAUUUAGCGCGACUUCAAUACAGAUACCGAACAUCAAAUUUGGAAAACCAAGAAAAAAAAUUGAAUUGCAUAUUAGUUGUUUUCUAGUGUUUGUAAAGGACCCCAUUUUAAAAGAUAUAAAUUGUAACAUAAAUAAUUUAAGGUUCUCCAAUCUAUCGUUAGUCUUUCCAUUAUGUGUUCCCUUACUUAUUAUCAUCAAGAUUCUUUUUCUCUUAAAUUCAUUUAUUAUUUCCUUUUUUUUUCUUCUAAUAUUUAUUUGUUUUAAAUAUUUUUUUGUUUUACUACUUAGGGUGUGUUCAAAAGUUGUCAUAUGACCAGGAGGUCACGAGUUCGAGUCAGGAAACAACCUUGGAUAGAAAUGCAAGGUAAGACAACAACAAUAAAUCCAUGUGAUAUAUGACUCUGUACUUUAAUCCUUAUACAUACAUAGUCUUUAUAUGGAGGAAAUAAGUUAUAUUCGAACUAAUUUUGAUUUUUUUGUUUGAACAUUUAGUAGUUACUAUAAAUUUAUGAAUAUUUAGCAGCGACGAGAUAAAACAUAUAUAUUUCAGUUGGAUUGAAGGAUAUAUCUGUUUAGUCAUAUAUUACAAAGAUUACAACACAAUUUACCAAUAACGAAAGAUCAAAAAUGUUAUUAACCAAAUUGAAUAUUCUUGAUAAAAAAAAAAAUUAACCUUUUAUAACGUAUUAAAAUGUUUUUUACUGACUACUUUAAUAUGCAUUAUUAUUGUUCUUGGGUCAAGGAUCCUUCCCAAACAGCCUCAUGAAUUCAACAAAUGGAGAUAAGAGUCACGCAAAUUCUAUUCUUCUCAAAUUCUAUAUGUCAAAUUACACUUUAUCGUUCAAAAUAUUGACACUUUUUUUGCGCAAUAUCGUUUUAUGAUGUAGGUUCUGGCUUACAGACCCAGGACCACAGCCAGGCCUUUUAUUAGACCUUUUUUGUAUCAAUUUGUGGUGAGUACUCUUUGCAUCCCGAUUAGAGGACUCAGUGAUGAUUUGUUGGAUUUUCAACUUAUUAGAUAGUUUUAAUUUCAGUUGUUAGCUCCAAUAAAGAUAGUUCGGGGCCAUGACCUAGCAACUCUUUGAAUUCAUGGGUUAUAGAGGCAUUAGAUAUUAGUUAAUUGGAUGUUAUUUCAAGUUAAACUUUGUCAUAUUUAUGGAUAUUUAGCCUGUAACUAAUUUCAAAGUUGAGUUUCUAAAUAGUUUGUCAGGCCAGGGUCCGCUCGGGAUCGCUUAUGGUUCCAGGUGUCAUGUUAAAUCCAAGGUGUAGGCUUGGGGCAUGGAAAAUUAUAUGUCCCUUACUCAUUACCAUCAACAUUCCUUUUCUGCAAAAUUCAUUUAUUAUUUUCUUUUUUCUUCUUAAUGUUUAUUGGUUCUUAUUUUUUACAACAGGGGGUGUUCUCAAGUUGUUGUCAUACGAUCAGAAGGUCACAUGUUAAAGUUGUGUAAAUAAUUUAUGAAUUCAAGGUAAGACGGUACACAAUAGACCUUUGUAGUAUGAUCCUUGCUCAGAUUCCGUACAUAGCGAAAGCUUUAAUGCACCAAACUAUCGUAUGUUCGAAAGGUAAGAUUUUUUACUUGAAAAAUAUUUUCAGAAAAUUAAGUAUUUUAAUUUUAGGAAUAAUAACAUUUUUGGUUCCUCGAUUCUAAAUAAAUUUUGAUCUUUGUCCUUGUGAUAUAUGAUUCAUCAUAUUUAAUCAUAAGUAAAUAUAAUUUUUUUUUGUCUUUUUACAGAAGAAAUACGGUAUAUUUGUACUACAAUUAGAACUCACCAUAUGGAGUGACAAUAUAAGCUUAAUGUAUCACAUGGAUAGUUAAGUAGCGAAACAUUUAUCAGUAAAUUUAUGAAUAUUUACUAGCAGACGAAAUUAAAGUGUAAGUUCGAAUUGAUUGAAGGUUAUCACAAGGAUCAAAAUUAGAAUUUAUCAAUAACUGAAGACCAAAAUAUUAUUUGACCGAAAUAAAUGUUCUUCAUAUAAAUUUUGGGAACAAAAAUUCAAAGGAAGAACCAUCCAUGUUUGUUUAUCCUUCAUCUACUCCUUAUGUGAUUAUAUUUAAUACAACACGAAAUUUAAGAAAGGAAAAAAUUAUAAAUUUAUUGUCUAAAAUUUAUGAUAAGAAGUUUAACAGAAAUUACUAAGGUUCACGUUUAAUGGACCAAUAAUGAAAUACCAUAGUCUUCUUGUAUAGGAACUUUAAUAGGUCUGCAUUCAAAGGCGAGUCUAGAGAAUUUGAGUUCUAGAGUUCGAUCGUUAAUGGUGAUAUAUCAAAAAAAAUAUCUCUACCUUCUACAGGUAGAGGUAAUACUGCACAUAUACGUAUUAUCCGCUCCUGACCGACUUACGAGAGUAUACUGGGUAUGUUGCUGGUGAGUUCAAUCCCUUGAAGGGGAAAAUUACGUUAUAAGACCAUUCUUAAGACUUGUAUUGUUCCUAUCUCGUAUUAUACUAAUAGACGGCCAACAGCAAUUCUUUAUGGAGUAUGAAUAAGUAAAAUAUUGUACUGUGCAUACAUACAAUAUCUCAUCUAUUCUUAUUAAAAAUCACAAGUACCGUCGGUCCAUUACGACCCAAUUUUCACCUCAAGUUUGUUGUCCCCCGUAUUUUCUUCAACAUCUUCCUUAAUCUUGAGUGCAGACUCUUUAAGCUGAUGGCUUCCCAGCAGUACGAUGGACUUUAACGAAGCAAUAUCUCCAAAACUCUCUGGAAUCUCUAUAAGCUCAGUACAAUAUUGUAUAUAUAAUUCCUCGAGCACGGGAAAUGAUUCAUCUCCAGUAACCUGCCAUUCAGAAAAAGACACCUUAUACAGUAGUAGAGAUUUGAGAUUGUGGAAGGUGACAUGUUCCAUGUUCCAUUCUUUUCCCCCUUCGAUGCGUGUUCUCCAUAGGUUCAGCUUUUGAAGGUUGGGUAGUGAUCUCCCAAUUCCUGACAGUGCAUCUGAUGUCAGAUUGAUGCCAUACAAAUUAACUUCUUUCAAGCUCGAAGGGAAGUGAAAAUCAAACUGAUGUACAUGUCUAAGACGCCCACAGCACUCAAAUUGAGCAUAAACUCUUUCAAGUUUAUUAAAGACAUCCAAUCUUGAAAAAUAUAUUUGCUCUGCUGCUGAACAAUCCAUGCGGAAUCCAAGGAUUCGAAGAUUGGGAAACCUUUUGAAAAUAUCUGAUGAGUCUACUGAACAGGAAAGCUUGAGAUACUUUAAUGAUGUUAGAUUCUCUAGCUGUGUUGGUUUGUCAAUAUACGAGUCAAAGACAGAACAAUUACAGACGUACACAUGUCGUAGCUUUGCAAGACUCCAGAUGGUAGGGGAUAAUACCAUGUCUGGUACCCAAUUAGUCACUUCCAGAAUUUCAAGAUUGCAGAGGUUUGAAAAUGACGGAGGGAGGGCUUUUGCCUUCAUCUCAAUCCUUAAGCACCUCAAAUGAACAAGCAUCCCUAUUUCAUUCAGCACAGUAUCUGUCAAAGUUUCCUUUUCUGUCAAUCGUACUCUCCCCAGAUCCAACCUUUUAAGAAGCCUCAAGUGUCUUAGGUGACAGUUAUAGGGAAGGUAGUUACAUUUCAAAGAGAGUAGGUGCUUAACAUAAGGAUUUCUCUUUUUUGGACUAAAAAAGGAAGAGGUAUCACCAGAAUGACGGCGUUUAUCAUAAAUAAUGGUCCGUCUACGCAGCAUCAGAUCUGAAGAAAAGGAUGAAGACAGAACAACUGAGCUCGUCAAAUCAAACAGUUUUUCCUUUCUAGCUUUUAUUGAACAAAAAUCAUGCACAAGAUCAUGAAUUUGGCAACUCUGUUCGCUACCACCUUUCACUAUUACCAAGCUACUAGAAAUUAACUCAUCCACAUAAACCUCUGUCACUUCUUCCACACUCUUCAAAUCACUUGGUUCCACAAGUCCUUCAUCACUCCAUAAAUCUUUCAGCCAACAGAUAUAAAUAUCUUCGUCCUUUGGAUAACUUGCAAGGUACAGAAAGCAUGGCUUUAUGUGAUCUGACAAGUGGUCAUAACUUAAUUGUAUAACCUUCAUCACUUCCUCUUCAUCCUUAAAAAUAAAGGAACUCAAAUUAUUGAGAACUUCAAGCCACAAAGCCUCUUUCUUUUCCUUCCUUGAAAUAACUCCGCUGAUCAAAUCAAGUACCAAAGGAAGCCCACCACACUUUUGGGCUAUUUUUUCUCCAACAUCCUUUAGUUCAUUAGGGCAAUGUUCUUCUCCGAAUACCCUUUUCUCUAACAACUCCCAACUUUCUUCUGGUCUUAGCAAUCGAAGAUCAAGAGGAUCACUGUGGCAUUUUCCAUGCAAAGCCACUUCCUUUUUUCGACUUGUUAAAAUAACUCUGCUUCCUUUCUGAAAUUCAGUUGGAAUGGCAUAUAAUGGCCUUGUUAGCUCAUCCCAUGUUGCAGUAUCCCACAAGUCAUCCAAGACAAUAAGGUACCUCUUUCCAAACAGAUGUUUCCGUAGCUUAUCAGCAACAUCAUCGUCUAUGUCAUCCUCACUGACUCUUUCUUUCAAACCAAUUUCAUUGAAAAUUUUUUGCAACAACUUUUUCUCAUUACGUUCCUGGUCGACUGUGCACCAAGCACGAAUGUCAAAAUGACCAACAACAGACUUAUCAUUAAAUACUCUGUAAGCCAAAGUAGUUUUUCCAAGCCCCGGCAUGCCGACUAUGGAAAUGACAUCUACCUCAGAUGGUCCGCUGGUGAGCUUCCUAAUUAUCCACUCUGUCUCCUCCUCAAAACCUACAAUUAUUUUACUAGCUGUUGAUGACUUGUUUUCAACUGGCUUGUUAGGAGAGUUUGCAAAAAUGAUACACGUGUUCUUGGAGAUCUUCUCUUGUAACUCUUUUUUGACAAGCUUGAUCUUUUCUACGGUAUCAGGAAGUAAGAAGAUAAGCUGCAAGAGACCUUGAUCUCUGGCAAGAAUUGAGUUAAUGGCAUGUUCCGCCUGAUAUGCCACAUCUAGAACACGAGUCCAAAGAUCUCUAUACAAUACUUGCUCCACAUUCCCGAAGAAUGAUCUUAUGUGUUCUAGGUGUUCUUUCACCCGACCAAUUUCUUCUUUUAUCAAAACAACUGAAUAAGCAUUGGAAUUGAGCAAGUCAUUUAAAUGUCUAAAUAGAAGAGUCAUGAAGAGCUGUCCAUCACUCAUGGGGAAGCAGAGCUGAGAUGAGUCUGCAGG
rnacentral:lncRNA from 1 species